CAGAGGUCCCAAGCGUUGUUCGGAUUUACUGGGCGUAAAGGGUGCGUAGGCGUCGGGUAAGUCUGAUGUGAAAUCUCUGGGCUCAACCCAGAAAUGGCAUUGGAUACUAUUCGGCUAGAGAGUUGGAGGGGGGACUGGAAUACUUGGUGUAGCAGUGAAAUGCGUAGAUAUCAAGUGGAACACCAGUGGCGAAGGCGAGUCCCUGGACAACUUCUGACGCUGAGGCACGAAAGCUAGGGGAGCAAACAGGAUUAGAUACCCUGGUAGUCCUAGCUGUAAACGGUGCUUAUUUGCUGUAAAAGGAAUCGACCCCUUUUGUGGCGUAGCAAACGCGUUAAAUAAGCCGCCUGGGAAGUACGGUCGCAAGAUUA
rnacentral:rRNA from 1 species